AGAGUUUGAUCCUGGCUCAGGAUGAACGCUGGCGGCGUGCCUAAUACAUGCAAGUCGAGCGAACGGACGAGAAGCUUGCUUCUCUGAUGUUAGCGGCGGACGGGUGAGUAACACGUGGAUAACCUACCUAUAAGACUGGGAUAACUUCGGGAAACCGGAGCUAAUACCGGAUAAUAUUUUGAACCGCAUGGUUCAAAAGUGAAAGACGGUCUUGCUGUCACUUAUAGAUGGAUCCGCGCUGCAUUAGCUAGUUGGUAAGGUAACGGCUUACCAAGGCAACGAUGCAUAGCCGACCUGAGAGGGUGAUCGGCCACACUGGAACUGAGACACGGUCCAGACUCCUACGGGAGGCAGCAGUAGGGAAUCUUCCGCAAUGGGCGAAAGCCUGACGGAGCAACGCCGCGUGAGUGAUGAAGGUCUUCGGAUCGUAAAACUCUGUUAUUAGGGAAGAACAUAUGUGUAAGUAACUGUGCACAUCUUGACGGUACCUAAUCAGAAAGCCACGGCUAACUACGUGCCAGCAGCCGCGGUAAUACGUAGGUGGCAAGCGUUAUCCGGAAUUAUUGGGCGUAAAGCGCGCGUAGGCGGUUUUUUAAGUCUGAUGUGAAAGCCCACGGCUCAACCGUGGAGGGUCAUUGGAAACUGGAAAACUUGAGUGCAGAAGAGGAAAGUGGAAUUCCAUGUGUAGCGGUGAAAUGCGCAGAGAUAUGGAGGAACACCAGUGGCGAAGGCGACUUUCUGGUCUGUAACUGACGCUGAUGUGCGAAAGCGUGGGGAUCAAACAGGAUUAGAUACCCUGGUAGUCCACGCCGUAAACGAUGAGUGCUAAGUGUUAGGGGGUUUCCGCCCCUUACUGCUGCAGCUAACGCAUUAAGCACUCCGCCUGGGGAGUACGACCGCAAGGUUGAAACUCAAAGGAAUUGACGGGGACCCGCACAAGCGGUGGAGCAUGUGGUUUAAUUCGAAGCAACGCGAAGAACCUUACCAAAUCUUGACAUCCUUUGACAACUCUAGAGAUAGAGCCUUCCCCUUCGGGGGACAAAGUGACAGGUGGUGCAUGGUUGUCGUCAGCUCGUGUCGUGAGAUGUUGGGUUAAGUCCCGCAACGAGCGCAACCCUUAAGCUUAGUUGCCAUCAUUAAGUUGGGCACUCUAAGUUGACUGCCGGUGACAAACCGGAGGAAGGUGGGGAUGACGUCAAAUCAUCAUGCCCCUUAUGAUUUGGGCUACACACGUGCUACAAUGGACAAUACAAAGGGCAGCGAAACCGCGAGGUCAAGCAAAUCCCAUAAAGUUGUUCUCAGUUCGGAUUGUAGUCUGCAACUCGACUACAUGAAGCUGGAAUCGCUAGUAAUCGUAGAUCAGCAUGCUACGGUGAAUACGUUCCCGGGUCUUGUACACACCGCCCGUCACACCACGAGAGUUUGUAACACCCGAAGCCGGUGGAGUAACCUUUUAGGAGCUAGCCGUCGAAGGUGGGACAAAUGAUUGGGGUGAAGUCGUAACAAGGUAGCCGUAUCGGAAGGUGCGGCUGGAUCACCU
rnacentral:rRNA from 1 species